CUUUGUGACGCGUCAGGCGCGACCAUCGAUCUGGGAACGACACUCUAUUUUAUUCACGGACCCGCUUCUAUUUUCAGAGCAUUUUCAGACGACUGAAGAUAUAAAUUGUUAUUAAAAAGAGUUAACGUCGAUGAUUUACAAGAUGUUUUGACAGAUAUCCGGUUCCCGUUCUAGUAGUUUGUCGCUGCUACAACUGCUCCUUCAUAUUUUUCAUUGUCUCGACUUCAAUGCUAAUCGCGCGACGGCCACAUAACGGAUGCACGUGACGAACAUGCGUGUGAUUUUCAUGCACGGAGUCUAACGGGACUAAAUCAGAAAGCGAAUGGCUUCCACGUCUCCCGUCUUCUCAUCGAACGAGGGAGUGGUUCUAGUUCGCCAGUGCGCACACGUGGUGAAACGCACUCUCCGUAAAUAUUUCUUCAACUGAAGGCUCCCCGUCCCUAGCGCCGAAGAAGCGCCGAGCGAAACUGGUAGCUGUCUCUCAGUGUUAGCGUUCGUUAAAGUCAUCGCGCGAAGAAAUUAACUCGCGGAAGUGGAUGAGGAUUCGCCAAAGUGUCGGAAGCGCGUUUCUGUUAAAAACAUUAAAAUAGGUUUCUAAAUAAUUCCAGCGGAGAAGGGUGAAACUGCGAAAUCUCCAAACACAAAUUUUUAAUUUCCAAUUCGUAUGUACUUCUCCUCAAAUUUCAUCUCUCGAUAAACUAGUGUUUCAUUAAAGCGGCGAAGUAAUCGAA